GGGUGAGUAACACGUGGGUGAUCUGCCCUGCACUCUGGGAUAAGCCUGGGAAACUGGGUCUAAUACCGGAUAGGACCAUGCUUUAGUGUGUGUGGUGGUAAAGUUUUUCGGUGUAGGAUGGGCCCGCGGCCUAUCAGCUUGUUGGUGGGGUAAUGGCCUACCAAGGCGGCGACGGGUAGCCGGACUGAGAGGUUGGUCGGCCACAUUGGGACUGAGAUACGGCCCAG
rnacentral:rRNA from 1 species